rnacentral:rRNA from 1 species
UACGUAGGGGGCGAGCGUUGUCCGGAAUUAUUGGGCGUAAAGAGCGUGUAGGCGGCCCGGUAAGUCCGCUGUGAAAGUCGGGGGCUCAACCCUCGAAUGCCGGUGGAUACUGUCGGGCUAGAGUGCGGAAGAGGCGAGUGGAAUUCCUGGUGUAGCGGUGAAAUGCGCAGAUAUCAGGAGGAACACCAAUUGCGAAGGCAGCUCGCUGGGACGUAACUGACGCUGAGACGCGAAAGCGUGGGGAGCAAACAGG